rnacentral:rRNA from 1 species
GACAGAGGUGCCGAGCGUUAGGCGGAAUCACUGGGCUUAAAGCGUGUGUAGGCGGGUCGUUAAGUGUCUUGUGAAAUCCCACCGCUCAACGGUGGAACUGCUGGGCAUACUGGCGAUCUUGAGCCACCUAGGGGCAGACGGAACAAGCGGUGGAGCGGUGAAAUGCGUAGAUAUCGCUUGGAACGCCGACGGCGAAAACAGUCUGCUGGGGGUGUGCUGACGCUGAGACACGAAAGCCAGGGGAGCGAACGGG